GUCGCUUUCACGUUCACACUUUGUAUCGGUGUCAUGAAUACCUAUCUGGAACUCACCCUGUGAGUCGAAAUAUUUUGUCGGUUCGGAGUAAUCCCUCCGAAACCCAAAAACCUUGUUAUCGUUCCAACACUGUAACCGUAAUAGGUAGAAAAAAAACAAAGGGUGAAAUUUGUUCAGGACCAGACCCCGGUUCUUCGUUACAUUUGGAUCGAAAAGAUUCAACGACUCAUUGGUAGGGUUAUGCCCCUAUGAAAAUUAACCGGUGUCGGUUGACCACCAAAACUCAGAAACCAUAAGUCGUAGACACCUAGGAUCUUCACCAAUCAUCAUCAAUUCAUGUAUCUUUGUAAAAUACCUCAAGGCCAUAUUUGUAUCUUGACCUUGACCUUUGACCUAACACCUUGUUAUGGGAUAAUCUCAGGAACGAUUAUACUUACAGAAGUUUUAAAUAGUGGAAAAUGUUUGGGUCAUUAUGGCGCAACUUUGUUACAUUUUGACUAAAAAGAUUUGACCUUUUUUUUAAGGGGCAUAACCCCUGUUUUAGGUUUCUGAAAAGACAAAAUCAGGUUUUACUAUAUAACCAAAGGUCCUAGACCCUUGGGGUUUUCAGUAAUGGCAUUGGGGAC
rnacentral:lncRNA from 1 species